ACGGGUGAGUAACGCGUGGGAACGUGCCUUCUGGUUCGGAAUAACUCAGGGAAACUUGAGCUAAUACCGGAUACGCCCUUUUGGGGAAGGGUUUACUGCCGGAAGAUCGGCCCGCGUCUGAUUAGCUAGUUGGUGGGGUAACGGCCUACCAAGGCGACGAUCAGUAGCUGGUCUGAGAGGAUGAUCAGCCACACUGGGACUGAGACACGGCCCAGACUCCUACGGGAGGCAGCAGUGGGGAAUAUUGGACAAUGGGCGCAAGCCUGAUCCAGCCAUGCCGCGUGAGUGAUGAAGGCCUUAGGGUUGUAAAGCUCUUUUAUCCGGGACGAUAAUGACGGUACCGGAGGAAUAAGCCCCGGCUAACUUCGUGCCAGCAGCCGCGGUAAUACGAAGGGGGCUAGCGUUGCUCGGAAUCACUGGGCGUAAAGGGCGCGUAGGCGGUCUUUUAAGUCGGGGGUGAAAGCCUGUGGCUCAACCACAGAAUUGCCUUCGAUACUGGGAGACUUGAGUUCGGAAGAGGUUGGUGGAACUGCGAGU
rnacentral:rRNA from 1 species